UUAAAAUAUACCUAGAGUUUACAAAUGUUUGUUUGGUUUAAAAAGAACUGCGAUCCAAGAAGCAAAAGACACCUAACAAAUUGCGUAGCGAAUUGAUUUGGUCCAGUAAUUAUUGAAGCCAAUUAGUCUGCUGUUAGUUAGGCUUUGUACUUGUGAAAAUACAGAGUUUACUUUCAGUUCAUCCACACGUAUAUUUUAUUCGAGUUGAAGACGAAGCAGUACGAUGAUAUUUUUGAAGGCCCAUGUAUUUCUGUUCAUAGGUGUUCUAUUGGUAGUUCUUACAUUCCACGAAGCCAACUCAUAUAGAAGGUGCUCCAUAAACGAGGAAGAGCGAUGCAAAUGCUUUGAGAGCUCCUGCUUUCAGCUUUUAUAUGAUGGGGAAAAUUGUACGGCCUGCAAAAAAGAAUGCCAGUGUAAAAUUGGUUUUGUACGCAACAGGGGUAUGUGUAUGAAAAAGGAAAAAUGCUGCUCGGGUUCUGUUUGCGUAUCGAAAAAGGAGCAAAUUAUAAGAACCAUACGUCAAAAGAUGGAAAAGCCGACCGCCAGGUCGAGUCAAUUCAAAUAAAAUCGAUUAUGUUCGCAAGAAUAAUGUUUAAUAAUGUUUAAAAAUACAAGUGAAUUAGCAGAACUUGCCCCCAAAACUUUAAAA